GACGAACGCUGGCGGCGUGCUUAACACAUGCAAGUCGAACGGAAAGGCCUGCUUUCCCUUGUGGAUUGCGGGUACUCGAGUGGCGAACGGGUGAGUAACACGUGAGUGAUCUGCCCCCAACUUGGGUAGAAGCCUGGGAAACUGGGUCUAAUUCCCGAUAGGACUGCAGGGUGGUGCCUGUGGUGGAAAACGAUUUUCUAGUGGUUGGGGAUGAGUUCGCGGCCUAUCAGCUUGUUGGAGGGGUAAUGGCCUACCAAGGCGGCGACGGGUAGCCGGCCUGAGAGGGUGGACGGCGACAUUGGGACUGAGACACGGCCCAGACGCCUACGGGAGGCGGCAGUGGGGAAUAUUGCACAAUGGGCGGAAGCCUGAUGCAGCGACGCCGCGUGGGGGAUGACGGCCUUCGGGUUGUAAACUCCUUUCGACCGCGAGGAAGCCACCUGGUUGGAAGGGUGGUGACGGUAGUGGUAGAAGAAGCACCGGCUAACUACGUG
rnacentral:rRNA from 1 species